CCGCCGCUCGCAACCAUCCACCGCCACCGCCCCCAACCGACCAACCACCGCCGCCGCUGCCACCAACCAUCAAUCGCCCUCCACUGGACCACAAGCCGCUGCCAACCACUGUCGUCGUCGCCGCACUCCAGAGCUGAAACCCCGACUCACGCGUUUCCUCCCCGAGCAGGCUUCAUCACCGAGCACCAAGUCACGGGUCCGCCUCCUCCACAUGCCCCUGAAGCAACAGACUGCCGUUGGUCUCCUCUCCAGCGAGCAGGCACCUACUCCACAAGCCCCUGAAGCAGCAGACCUCACGUUGGCCCUCCUCUCCAGCGAGCAGCUCUGCCUGCUGAACAUCGACAUCGCUGCCUCUUGUACUUCAUUUGACUGAUUUCCCAAAGGUACACAAGUCGAUGAAGGUUUGGAAGAUUCUCAAGGUCCUGAAUAUUUGGAAGACUACAAUAGUGGGUGUAGUGACUAUGUAAUAUGCUUGUUUAAUUUGUGAAACCUGGACACUUGCUCCGCUCAUUUUGCUGGUUGUUAAGCCACUCUGCUCAUUUUGGUUGUGUCACACAUUUUAAAACAUAUAUGUACUCUACCUUUUAAGGUACAACCUCUUUAUAUAUAUAUAUAUUAUGGUCGUUAUGUUUAAUUUA